GCGAGGAUGGCGGAACUGGCAUACGCGCUGGAUUUAGGAUCCAGUCCCGUGAGGGUUGGGGGUUCAACUCCCCCUCCUCGCACCU
rnacentral:tRNA from 1 species